UGAAGCCCAGCUUGCUGGGUGGAUGAGUGGCGAACGGGUGAGUAACACGUGGGUAAUCUGCCCUGUACUCUGGGAUAAGCCUGGGAAACUGGGUCUAAUUACGGAUAGGACACACUGCCGCAUGGUGGUGUGUGGAAAGCUCCGGCGGUACAGGUUGAGCCCGCGGCCUAUCAGCUUGUUGGUGGGGUGAUGGCCUACCAAGGCGACGACGGGUAGCCGGCCUGAGAGGGUGACCGGCCACACUGGGACUGAGACACGGCCCAGACUCCUACGGGAGGCAGCAGUGGGGAAUAUUGCACAAUGGGCGCAAGCCUGAUGCAGCGACGCCGCGUGGGGGAUGACGGCCUUCGGGUUGUAAACCCCUUUCGCCAGGGACGAAGCGUAAGUGACGGUACCUGGAGAAGAAGCACCGGCCAACUACGUGCCAGCAGCCGCGGUAAUACGUAGGGUGCAAGCGUUGUCCGGAAUUAUUGGGCGUAAAGAGCUCGUAGGCGGUGUGUCACGUCUGCCGUGAAAACCUGCGGCUUAACCGUGGGCGUGCGGUGGAUACGGGCAUCACUUGAGUUCGGUAGGGGAGACUGGAAUUCCUGGUGUAGCGGUGGAAUGCGC
rnacentral:rRNA from 1 species